AGUGAACGCUGGCGGUAGGCCUAACACAUGCAAGUCGAACGGCAGCACAGUAAGAGCUUGCUCUUACGGGUGGCGAGUGGCGGACGGGUGAGGAAUACAUCGGAAUCUACUUUUUCGUGGGGGAUAACGUAGGGAAACUUACGCUAAUACCGCAUACGACCUACGGGUGAAAGCAGGGGAUCUUCGCACCUUGCGCGUUUGAAUGAGCCGAUGUCGGAUUAGCUAGUUGGCGGGGUAAAGGCCCACCAAGGCAACGAUCCGUUGCUGGUCUGAGAGGAUGAUCAGCCACACUGGAACUGAGACACGGUCCAGACUCCUACGGGAGGCAGCAGUGGGGAAUAUUGGACAAUGGGCGCAAGCCUGAUCCAGCCAUACCGCGUGGGUGAAGAAGGCCUUCGGGUUGUAAAGCCCUUUUGUUGGGAAAGAAAAGCAGCAGGUUAAUACCCCGCUGUUCUGACGGUACCCAAAGAAUAAGCACCGGCUAACUUCGUG
rnacentral:rRNA from 1 species